GUCUACGGCCAUACCACCCUGAAUGCGCCCGCUCUCGUCUGGUCUCGGAAGCGAAGCAGGGUCGGGCCUGGUUAGUACUUGGAUGGGAGAAAAAGGAUAAAUAGUUGCACAGGAAACUGGGAUCUGAAGGAC
rnacentral:rRNA from 1 species